rnacentral:rRNA from 1 species
AUUGAACGCUGGCGGCAUGCCUAACACAUGCAAGUCGAACGGUAACGCGGAGAGCUUGCUCUCUGGCGACGAGUGGCGGACGGGUGAGUAAUACUUAGGAAUCUACCCAGUAGUGGGGGACAACAUUCGGAAACGGAUGCUAAUACCGCAUACGCACUACGGUGGAAAGUGGGGGACCUUCGGGCCUCACGCUAUUGGAUGAGCCUAAGUCGGAUUAGCUUGUUGGUGAGGUAAUGGCUCACCAAGGCGACGAUCCGUAGCUGGUCUGAGAGGACGAUCAGCCACACUGGGACUGAGACACGGCCCAGACUCCUACGGGAGGCAGCAGUGGGGAAUAUUGGACAAUGGGCGCAAGCCUGAUCCAGCAAUGCCGCGUGUGUGAAGAAGGCCUGCGGGUUGUAAAGCACUUUCAGUAGAGAAGAAAAGCCUAGGGUUAAUACCCCUGAGUCUUGACGUAACCUACAGAAGAAGCACCGGCUAACUCCGUG